GCUCCCAUAGCUCAACUGGUUAGAGCGCACGCCUGAUACGCGUGAGGUUGUAGGAUCAUGCCCUACUGGGAGUACCA
rnacentral:tRNA from 2 species